rnacentral:rRNA from 1 species
CAAAAGUCUGAUCCAGCAAUUCUGUGUGCACGAUGACGGUCUUCGGAUUGUAAAGUGCUUUCAGGUGGGAAGAAAAAAGUGACGGUACCACCAGAAGAAGCGACGGCUAAAUACGUGCCAGCAGCCGCGGUAAUA